GACGAACGCUGGCGGCGUGCCUAACACAUGCAAGUCGAGCGGAGAUAUAUGGAAGGUUUACCGGAAAUAUAUCUUAGCGGCGGACGGGUGAGUAACGCGUGGGCAACCUGCCUCAUACAGGGGGGAUAACACAGGGAAACUUGUGCUAAUACCGCGUGAAAUCAUAGUAUGGCAUCAUACAAUGAUCAAAGGAGCAAUCCGGUAUGAGAUGGGCCCGCGUCCGAUUAGCUAGUUGGUGAGGUAACGGCUCACCAAGGCGACGAUCGGUAGCCGAACUGAGAGGUUGAUCGGCCACAUUGGGACUGAGACACGGCCCAGACUCCUACGGGAGGCAGCAGUGGGGAAUAUUGCGCAAUGGGGGAAACCCUGACGCAGCAACGCCGCGUGAAGGAAGAAGGCCUCGGUUGUAACUUCUUUGAUAGGGGACGGAUAAUAGACGGUACCCUAAAACCAAGACCACGGCUAACUACGUG
rnacentral:rRNA from 1 species